AUUGAACGCUGGCGGCAGGCCUAACACAUGCAAGUCGAGCGAGCGGCGGACGGGUGAGUAAUGUCUGGGAAACUGCCUGAUGGAGGGGGAUAACUACUGGAAACGGUAGCUAAUACCGCAUACCAUCAGAUGUGCCCAGUGGGGAUUAGCUAGUAGGUGGGGUAACGGCUCACCUAGGCGACGAUCCCUAGCUGUUCUGAGAGGUUGACCAGCAACACUGGAACUGGGCCACGGCCCGGAUCCCUACGGGAGGCAGCAGUGGGGAAUAUUGCACAAUGGGCGAAAGCCUGAUGCAGCCAUGCCGCGUGUGUGAAGAGGGCCUUCGGGUUGUAAGGCACUUUCAGCGGGGAGGCGUUACCCGCAGAAUAAGCACCGGCUAACUACGUGCCAGCCGCCGCGGUAAUUC
rnacentral:rRNA from 1 species